rnacentral:rRNA from 1 species
UACGUAGGGACCAAGCGUUGUUCGGAUUUACUGGGCGUAAAGGGCGCGUAGGCGGCAUGACAAGUCACUUGUGAAAUCUCCGGGCUUAACCCGGAAACUGCAUUGAAUACUAUUCGGCUUGAGGUCUGGAGGGGGGACUGGAAUUCUCGGUGUAGCAGUGAAAUGCGUAGAUAUCGAGAGGAACACCUGCGGCGAAGGCGGGUUGCUGGGCUGACACUGACGCUGAAGUGCGAAAGCUAGGGGAGCGAACGGG